rnacentral:tRNA from 1 species
AGAAAUUUAGGUUAAUACUAAACCAAGGACCUUCAAAGCCCUAAAUACGAGCUCGCCCCUCAUAAUUUCUGCCUG